GGUGAAGGUCGUGAAACACUUCCAUAUCAGCUGCGACUGUCCUCUUCGUUGUGUAAAUCUGAUAGUUGAUUGUUCGCAGGAAAUAAAAUGUUCGAAGAACCACCCCCCGUUGCAAACUUCUGAUUAAUGUUAUCUAGAAAUACUGCAAGGAUAUGAGGGUUUUCCUGGAUUGGUGUAUCUGUAUGGCAAGUCACUGUGGAAAGAAACCUUCCAGGAGCACCAAGACCUCAACACUUAAAAGCAUUUUGCACCUCAGCAGGCCAAUGACUAAACUAUGCCUCUCCACCCUCUUCUCAAUCUAUGCUGCCGAGUUCUUCAGUAGUAAUUCUUUAAUAUGGCAGAGACUAAGAACUUAUCUGUGCCUCGGUCCCGCCACCAGUCUGCUGACAGCAGCACGAGCUGUAACACGGAGCACUCUGACAGCUCCUCCUCGUCUGACAGCUCCGUGGUAAGUCUCCCACAUGCUCCAGAUGGUGGUUGGGGCUGGGUGGUUGUUCUGGGGGCUUUCGUAGUCUCCGCUGUUUGUGAUGGAUGUGCAUUUUCCUUUGGAGUCUUGUACACAGAACUUUUAGACCAUUUUGGUGAGAGCAAAAGUAAAACGUCAUGGGUUGGCUCUCUGUUUGUGGGUGUACCACUGGUUUGUGGACCUCUAGCCAGUGCUCUGGUGACCAAAUUUGGAUGUCGGAAAAUGACAAUAGUUGCGGGAUUUGUCUCCUCUGCCGGAUUCAUUCUCAGUUCUUUCGGAAACUCGAUAGAGAUGCUGUGCGUAACAUUCGGAUUGGUUGCAGGAGGAGGAAUGUCGUUGUGCUAUGUCACUUCGGUAGUCAUAGUGGCUUUUUACUUUGAACAAAAGAGAGCUCUUGCAACAGGACUUGCAGUGUGUGGGUCAGGAAUAGGAACGUUUAUAUUUGCACCGUUGACGGAAUUUCUGAUUGAUAAAUAUGGGUGGAGAGGCACUGUGCUUAUUCUGGGAGGUGUGCUCUUGAAUAUAGUUGUUUGUGGAGCUUUGUUUCGACCACUUAAGUUUACAAGAGCAGAAAGGAGAAGGAGGGCACUGGAACAGUUCGACAAAUUAUCCCGAACCAUUUCGCGCCAAAGCCUGCCCUCACGAGGACGUAGCCGCUAUAGCAGUGAAGUAAGUCACUCAGACAGCUCUGAUGAAGACAACAAAGACAACCAAUUCGAACUUGAACAAAUUAGUCAUUCUCAAGUGCAGCUCCCUACAUAUGUCAAUUCAGACCAAAAGACCGAAAUUCCACAAGAGGUUCUUGCCAAAUUUCGUAAAAAUGGUUCAAACAUCGAAGUAACCCUUCAAAGAUUCUUCCAUAGUCUGAAUUUCACAGUAACUGAUGCGCAGGUAAAGACUGCAGAAUUAUUGACUGUUACCAGUGAUGAUCAGAUUGUGUUUAUGACACAAGAACCUCAGGGAAAUAAACUCACCAAUGGUGUGUCUAAUACAAGCAAUGAUACUCCUCAAAAUCGCCACAAACAGCAUCCUCAUCGUGGACAUGGAGUGUGGCAACGUAAGACACCAGUGAAACCCAGCAAGAUGGUACAGUACCUUCCCCUGUAUAGGAAGGACAUUUUCUAUCGGGGAAACCUCCUUAAAUUGUCAGGCACACACUACAGAUCAAGCAGUUGCCCAGAGUUGUACAUAAGUUCAUUUGAGGAUGAUGAAGAUGAUGAUGAGGAUGAUAUAUUUGACAUAUGUCCUCUUUGCAAAAUUCUCCGCUUAUCAAAACAAGUGAAGAGGGUGAUGAAAACAAUGUUUGAUGUGAAGAUUCUCGGAAAUCCUUUGUUCUUAGUAUUUGCAAUCUCCAACUUUAUUCUCUACUUCUGGUAUGAUGUACCAUAUGUUUUCAUGGCUGAUAGGGCAACAGAGCUGGGUGUUUCAGAGGAGAGGGCUUCACUGAUAAUCUCCGUGAUUGGCAUAGUAAACACAUUUGGCCAGGUACUGUAUGGCUACCUGGGUGACAAGGACAUCAGCCUCAACUUGCUGUAUGCUGUGUCCUGCAUCCUGUCCGGGGUGAGUGUGUUGAUGGUGCCACUGUUGCACUCCUACUGGUACAUGUGCACCCUAGCAGGCAGCUUUGGCUUCUUCAUCGGCUCUAACUAUGCCCUGACCACUGUCAUGCUGGUGGAGUUCCUGGGGAUAGACAAACUGACCAACGCCUGUGGACUGCUGAUGAUGAUUCAGGGAAUUGCCAAUCUAAUUGGGCCCCCUGUUGCUGGUUGGAUGUAUGAUGAAACGAAGAGCUAUGAUGCCACAUUCUAUGCUGCUGGUGCCUUCAUAAUCAUAGCCGGUGCAAUGUUGCUCGUUAUCAAGUGUCUGAAGCGGUUGAGAAAGUGGAAACGGAUGCGUCACUAUAACCGGGAUAUAGUCGUGAAGGCAACCUCGAGUGGAAGGCGGGUACAGAUACAGGAGCCCAGCUGUGUUGUGGUGGAGAUCGAGUCUGUAGUGUAAGCGUUGUGGGAUAUCUGUAGUUCACCCAGUAGCUUAAUACACCUUUGUGUUGGGUACUAGUGCCAGACAAGUGCACCUGUCAGGUGCUACAUAUGUGGAGUGGGUUCUCAGCAAUAUGUACUGAUAACUUUCUCAGGGACAUAUGGUUGUGUACUGACAGAGGAUAAGACUAGGUGUGGCAUGUGUGUCUAUGGUGAAGCCAUGUUGGCAUGUGAGUUGCGCGCCACAUGGUCUAAUGUGAGGUCAUGUUGGCAUGAGAGCUGUGUGCCAGAUGGUCUAUGGUGAAGCCAUGUUGGCAUGUGAGUGUGUGCCAGAUAGUCUAAGGUGAGGUCAUGUUGGCAUGAGAGCUGUGUGCCAGAUGGUCUUAGGUGAGCCCUUGUUGGCAUGUAAGUUGUCUGCCAGAUGAGAGUUGCAUGCCUACAUGGUCUAAGGUGAGGUCAUGAUGAUAGAUGAGUUGCAUAACACAUGGUCUGAGUCUGUGGUUGAGUCGAGUGACAGGUUGCAUACGAAUGGGUAAAUAUAUAAACAAGGUGUAUAUUUUACAUAUUAAUCCAAAUAUAGAAUUGAGGUCAGUGAUUUCUUCCUUUUUUUUAUAUUACUCAUCACCUCUCUCAAUUUCAAUGAUGUUAAUCUCAUAUUGUGUACCCUAACAGCUAGCUGGUGUUUAGUCACAGUGUGCACAGAUUGGUAGCUCACCUGCACCGAAGAUUUGGCUUCAUUUGCUAUCUAUACCCUCAGAAAAAAGUGGGAAUGCUUCUCCUUUGGGUAGUUCAUAGUUGAUCUCAUCAUUCUUGUUUUGGUUUUGUCUGCAUACCAUUAAUUUUGUCUUUAAUUAACCAGAAUAUAUACUUGGAAGACAAGAUGACAUGUCACUAUUUUUUAUAUUUGAUUUUCUUGUUACAAGAAAUCUUGUUUGGUGCUUAAAUGCGUUAUUGUUACAAAUAUGCUGAUGUCUUUGUUUGUGAUAAUUGUUUUCAUUUUUGUGUUGCAAAUAUGAUUUCAAUUUAGUUGAAGUCCUUGUUAUUUUACCCCUUUAAGCAUCAGUGUGAUGACAGCGAACUUAUAUUUCUUGUCAGUUGUGCUUUUUUAGGUAUAUUUAGUGAAACUGAUGUAUGUUUUAUUUUGAAGCCAUGAGAGCAUAUUCUUGCAAUUCCUCUCUUUGUGUCAGGAAUGUGUCUCAGGCAUCUUUGGCUUCAAGGUAAUAGGCUACCUGUUGCAAGUUAAAACCUCGAAAUACCUGUCCAAUUUGCCAUCUUUAUUUCAACUCAAAUAUUGUUGAAAAGUCAGUAGUGCUUUGUUGACACAUGCAGGAUCACUUAUUUCAGUGAUAAUACAGCCAUGAUCAUUGAACUUUGUGAAAUCAAUCAAUGGUUUCUCCUAUUUUCUGAUUCAAAAGAGCCUACAAAUCAAAUGUACUCUUUAUGAAUCAAACCAUUUGUGACUCUUGCAACAUUGUCUGUUUAUAUACUCACAAAAGGUAAAGUUUUCUUUUGUUCAUGCAUAUUUACUUAUUAUUGGUUGUAUGGACAGAAUCUUGAUCCUCCUCUUCAGAACUGGAAGUGAAAAAUCCAAAUUGAACCCCUUUUAUUCUUGGAAACAAAUUGUACAUUAUUUAUAGGUAUCAAAUAUGAAAUUGUGUGGAUACGAGCGACUUACUGUGAAGAGUUUUGUCCUUUAGGUUUGCCAGGAAGCUUUGCUCAUGGGUUUGAAUCUUUCUCCUGAUUAUCGUUCUUGUUAUAUCAGUUUGUUUAACGUACAGCUCAGAUGAGUGUGACAUGCAACUCAUGUCAAUAACAUUAGGUUUCUUGUUUGUCGUUCGCACAGCUAUCCAAAUCCUGUUCUUGAGUUGGAUAAGAGACAAUUCCAGUGAUGCGAUAUCUAUAUUAGUAUCCCUCUUUGAAUAUUAAUAAUCAUAAUUAUCUGCUGGUGUUUUGUUUUUUGUGUUCUGGAUCAAGCUCAAAUUUGAUCUGUGUUUUUUUACUUUGAACAUGUACUACUACUAGGGGUUUUAUAUAUCCAACAUAAUCCUCUCCAUGAUAACUGUAUUAUCUUUCGUAUUACCCUGGGUUUUACCUCCUUUGUUUGUAUGUUGUGCAUGCUAAUAUCACUGGUAGAAGAUU
rnacentral:misc_RNA from 1 species